rnacentral:rRNA from 1 species
UACGUAGGUGGCAAGCGCUGUCCGGAUUUAUUGGGUUUAAAGGGUGCGUAGGCGGCCUUGUAAGUCAGUGCUGAAAUAUCCCGGCUUAACCGGGAGGGUGGCAUUGAUACUGCAGGGCUUGAGUAAAGUUGAGGUUGGCGGAAUUGACGGUGUAGCGGUGAAAUGCUUAGAUAUCGUCAAGAACACCGAUAGUGAAGACAGCUAACUAAGCUUUAACUGACGCUGAGGCACGAAAGUGUGGGGAUCAAACAGG